ACAAACAUGAGAGAGGAAAGGGAGGAGAGAAAAAAAGAAGAAGAAGAGGAUGAGGAAGAGGGAAGGACUCACCUUGGCUCCCGGCUGCUGCAUCGUCGCCUGAAUCCUUACCGGAGGUGUGCAAGCUUAUGUCAUUGCUCUCAAUGGUGACGCUUGUUUCAGAAAAAACAUUUUUCAUCGGAAAAUAAAAUUAGGAUUUUGGAGAAUGGCUCUGCAAGAGAACCCUUCUAAAGCCUCCCCUCUGUUAAGUGGGUGGACUUACAUCCAAUCAGUGUUCUAUGUCUCUAAGCAAGAGAACACCUCUUACUUGUUUCCCUUGUAACUCCAAUAAUGGUCUUGGUGGAUUUGGCCUGCUUCUGCUUUACUAAUGCUAGCUGUGUGAUUUGCUUUUACUUGUUUUAAAUACUCAUGUACUUCUUUUCA